UUGACCUCAGAUCAAGUA
rnacentral:rRNA from 1 species